AUCAAGUGAAUUAAUUUAAAAACAAAAGCCACUGAAUCCAUAGAAAACCAUGAUGACGAUGAACAGAUUUAAAUUGAUAUUUGGUAUCAACCAUUCAGAUGAAUUUACAUGAAGGAAAAAUUACGAUUCGGUUAAUAUGGUUAAAAGAAAACUAUUACAAUCAUUCCAAGUGAACCAUAAGGAUCGUAAUUCCAAGAGAAUCUAAUCCCUGAUUAUUAGAUUUUAAUUAUUCUUGUUCAUCAAUCCAGAUUGGAAAUGAUUUCCUCUCUCUCAACGACAAGUUAAAUCUAUAUUUUCAUUUCCAUUACAAUUGAAGAGAAUCACAGUUACAAUCACAAAUGAAAACAAUAUACAACCUUGAUCAAUGGAAAAUUUGAUUUACUUUCAAUGAUACAAUGUCACACAAUACUAAUUAUCUAAAGACAAAAAAGUUAAUUAGUUCACAAUUAUCUUUUCAUUUUCCUUUCACAUUAAAGAAAAUGAACUUAUCGAUUGUAAUGCAAUUUUUUGUACAAUUGUAACUUCAAAUAGUUAUCGAUUAUUUCAAUCAUUCA